CACCUGAUUCUUAAAGGUAAAUAUCAGCUGGUAAUUCUGGGAGCUAUGCCUGAUUAUGAAACACUCGGAAUUUCAGUUGGUAUCGACUUUUUCGAAUUG
rnacentral:pre_miRNA from 12 species